ACAGAGGUCUACGGAACAUGUUAAAUAUAUAAAUAGUUCAGUUUGUAAAGAGUAGUUGUCUCAACAUCCUAAUGCAGUUGUGGCCCUCUCGCCUUGUGGUAUCCAAAUUUUCCUUGUAUUUUCUCUCCUAUAGAAUGAUAAAUACAAAUGCCAAACAUGACCAAAUGUGGUCCUUAGGGGGGGAAUAUAUUACUAGAGGUCCCAAGAAGCUAAUCAAAGAGGAGGAUGGAAGUAAAUAAGUUGAAAGCAUUUUUAGUGAAGUCCUUCACUUGGUUAUGGAGAUUUAGCAGAGGUAUGAUGUUACUACAUUUUUAGUGAAGUCCAGGUUUUCUCUACCUGUUUUUUAGUUGCUGCAUCAUAUAGUUGUUGUCUGGUCCUUUUUUCUGGAGGUUAUAUGAUGUUUUUUAUUUGUCUUCUUUACCUUUUUAUGUUCAUUUUGAUACUGCUUUGCUAGGCAUUUUUUUAAGAUGUGGGUCUUUCCGAAAUAACCUCUCUAUCUCCACGAGGUAGGGGUAAGGCUGCAUACAUCCUACCCUCCUGAGAUCCCACCUGUGGGAUUUCACUGGAUACGUUGUUGUUACUGUUGUUUUCAUUCAGGUAACGUCUUAGGAGUUCCAUUCUUGAUAAGAGAUGAUGAUAAAAGUAAAUGAUCCAACCUGAAUUUAUUAAGUCCGUAAUAAUAGGCUUUUCAGGUGAUUUAAAUGUGCGACAUUUUGUCUUCCAGUUUUUCUGUUCUGUCAUACCCUUGUACUAUGAUCAACUGUUCCAACAAUUAGAUGGCAACUCUCCCCGUCUUUGAUUUUGUUGCUAUGUUCCUUAAAGUUCUUAUCUGGUUAAAUAUAAUCUGCUUCCUAACCCGUCUCAACAAUGCUAUAAUUUUCAAUAACAUGAAUAAAGAGGAAUAGGGCAAGGUAAAGUUUCCUGCGAAAAGCGAUUGGAAGAACCAUAUUGUGUAGGUUCUUUGCAUUGAGGGGUGGGGUGUAUAUUUCCACACAAUAAAUCCUUUACUUGUAGGAAAAAGACAUACCUGCCAAUACGUAUGUGUGUUUUAGUGCAUGACUAUAAAUGGAGCCCUAUUAUUGUUAGGGGUCGUUUGGUACACCGGAUGGGAUAAGGAUAUCCCAUGGGGCUAUAAGGGUAUCCCAUGGGACUAUUUUAUCCCUCCCUCCCCGUGGGACAAUAUAGUCUCCGGAUUAAGUAAUACCUUAUAUCAAACUUGCGAUAAAGUUAAUCCCAAACUUUAUCCCGAGAUUAUUUUUCUGAUCCCUUCUACCUAGCGACCCCUUUGUGUUAUCAUUAUCAUUAAUUGUUGUAUGCUUAAUAUAUAGAGGUUUGAUUUAUUUUUAUGAAGAUGCCUUAUAUUUGUCAAUUUUCUCGUUGUCAUAAUUCUGUGGUUGCUUAUGUUUCCCCCUUUCCUUUGUUCUUUUUCCUGAUGUGUAAUAAGUAGCUUCAUCUUGGUUCUUGUGCCAUGGAAGAGUAAUUACUUACCCGAUCGAAAUAGGAAGAAUUUACUUGUUAGUUAAUCAUUUGAGAGUGAUAAAGCGUACUCUUGUGGUUUUGGUCUUAAAUAAAAAGAAAUAUGAAUUAUUAUAUAGAGAAAAGAAUGAUAUUUAGCAUAGGUGCAGAUUAUGUUAAAUAAUAUCAUUAUGACCUGAUUUUUUGAAGCAAUAUAGACACCUAAAUACCAUUUGUAGGAAGUUCUCGUGAUCUUGUUGUGGAACUUUGAUUUCCAUCUUUUCAGUCGCUGGAAGUGUGGAACUUCAGUUUGCAUCUUUUCUCAGUUUGUCAAGUAGUGAUCAAUAUGUCAUUAUGUAGUAUAUAUUGUUCAAGUUCUUGCCAAAAGACUCUUUCAUGCUAAAGUUAAGUUUUCUGGAUAUGUGGACUGUUUCUUCUUCGGUUGCAAUAGGCUAUGUGGAUGAUCUUAGUGUUAAUUGGUUUCUUUGUUAUGGCAGAAUCGUCUGUGUUAGGGGAUGCUAAGGCUUCGGCUAUCAAGGCAGCUCUGGUAAAGGAAGAGAGAGGUAAAUAUGAAAUGAGGCAAUCUCUGAAAGAUGAAAAGGUUGAAGCAAGUAUAUCGAAGGAAAAUACUUCAAAACCUUUAGCACUGGAUUCGUUCGGUUGAACGGUAUUCUCUUCACCCGCACUAUGUAUGUAUGUAUGUAUGUAUGUUCCUGUCUGAGAUGCUAUUGAUGAACUGAGUAAUGACACUAACUUGUUAUCAGCUUGGAUGGAGACUUGCUGUUGAUUUGUUAAGAAUGAUCUCUCUCUUGUGGGUCUGAUGAGAUGUAUAGUUUUGGUUCAGAUGCUGCCUGCCGACUCCAGACUGUUUGGCAACUAUUUAAUUAUAAUAUUCACCAUCCAUAAUGCAUGUGAUUAGGGAAAGUGAUAGUCAGUCGUAUGCUGGCUGAGAUUGAUUCUACAGAGAUCAGUUCUUCUACAGAAAAUACAUUUGUGAGAGAUGUAUCCAAUUAAAUGAAGAUGAUGAAGGUGAGAGUGGAUGAAUCGGCUUGCAUUGCCACAAGAUUUUUUGAAUUGUGAAGAUUUUGAACUUGGAGGAAUUGUUCUUCUAGCACAGCUUAUCCUCCAAUUCCUUGAAUUUAGGCCACCCCAAAAAGUGUUGCCUAAAAUGUCCUAGUGUACACUCCCUAGGAGUAGGUGGGCUUAUUGGAGGAGGUAGGUUUGCACUCAUAAAUUCAUGAUUCCUUAUGAAGAAAAAUUGGACCACACUUAAGGCUGAUGCAGAACAAGACUUUUGAAAUUGGGCUUUAUGUCUGUCAUCAAACAUUACCAAAUAUCAGUAAGAGUUAACAUUCCAGACAGAGACAAGUAGGACCACACUGAGCACUGUCAUUCUCUCACUUGGUAAAAAGAAAUUUAUCUAUACAAUUGACAAAUUCAAUUUGCCUAUGUGCUUUUGAAUUUCUUUUUCUAAUUGUAUUUGGUCUUUAACAGAAAUAAGUCAAUAAUGCUAAUUGUUUUUUUUUUUUUCCGCUUGUUUUAUUCAAGCUUUAUGUUUCUAAGGCCUUACUAUCCCA
rnacentral:lncRNA from 1 species